rnacentral:rRNA from 1 species
UACAGAGGUGGCAAGCGUUGUUCGGAAUCACUGGGCAUAAAGGGCGCGUAGGCGGCCUGCUAAGUCACACGUGAAAUCCCUCGGCUCAACCGGGGAACUGCGUGUGAUACUGGCGGGCUCGAAUUCGGGAGAGGGAUGUGGAAUUCCAGGUGUAGCGGUGAAAUGCGUAGAUAUCUGGAGGAACACCGGUGGCGAAGGCGGCAUCCUGGACCGAGAUUGACGCUGAUGCGCGAAAGCUAGGGUAGCAAACGGG